rnacentral:rRNA from 1 species
ACGGAAGGCAGCAGUGAGGAAUAUUGGUCAAUGGGCGAGAGCCUGAACCAGCCAAGUCGCGUGAAGGAUGAAGGUUCUAUGGAUUGUAAACUUCUUUUGUUCGAGGGUAAAGUGAGGGAUGCGUCCCUUAUUGCAAGUAUCGAACGAAUAAGCAUCGGCUAACUCCGUGCCAGCAGCCGCGGUAAUACGGAGGAUGCGAGCGUUAUCCGGAUUUAUUGGGUUUAAAGGGUGCGUAGGCGGGAUGUUAAGUCAGCGGUGAAAGCGUGUAGCUCAACUAUGCCAAGCCGUUGAAACUGGCGUUCUUGAGUGUAAACGAGGUAGGCGGAAUGUGACGUGUAGCGGUGAAAUGCUUAGAUAUGUCACAGAACCCCGAUUGCGAAGGCAGCUUACCAGCAUACAACUGACGCUGAGGCACGAAAGUGCGGGGAUCAAACAGGAUUAGAUACCCUGGUA